UACAGAGGUCUCAAGCGUUGUUCGGAUUCAUUGGGCGUAAAGGGCGCGUAGGCGGCGCGGUAAGUCGGGUGUGAAAUCUCGGAGCUUAACUCCGAAACUGCAUUCGAUACUGCCGUGCUUGAGGACUGGAGAGGAGAGUGGAAUUCCUGGUGUAGCGGUGAAAUGCGUAGAUAUCGUAAGGAAGACCAGUGGCGAAGGCGGGUCUCUGGACAGUUCCUGACGCUGAGGCACGAAGGUCAGGGGAGCAAACGGG
rnacentral:rRNA from 1 species